rnacentral:rRNA from 1 species
UACGUAGGGUGCGAGCGUUGUCCGGAAUUAUUGGGCGUAAAGGGCUCGUAGGCGGUUUGUCGCGUCGGGAGUGAAAACCCAGGGCUUAACUCUGGGCUUGCUUUCGAUACGGGCAGACUAGAGGUAUGCAGGGGAGAACGGAAUUCCUGGUGUAGCGGUGAAAUGCGCAGAUAUCAGGAGGAACACCGGUGGCGAAGGCGGUUCUCUGGGCAUUACCUGACGCUGAGACGCGAAAGCGUGGGGAGCAAACAGG